UGCUCAAGGCAUUGAGGUCAAGGGUGCUCGCCUACAUUCCCUUCAAUACUCAAAGUCGUGUGACUGGUUAAUUCCUUUUAUACUUGCACCAUGACUGCCUUACACAGCUCCUUGCUCUCUCAGAGUUCCUAAUUGUGUUUCUCUUUGCUUCUUUAGAGAGGAGACAUUUGCCUUUGAAAUCAAGUCACUCAAACUUUCCCACAUCUUAAUUACUGCACCUGUUCUGUAAGCCCACUUCUGUCUUGAAGACUUUCUUCUCUGGAUCUCCAGACUUCCUGUUCUAAUUUUGAUGGAAACUCCGAGGACCUCUGGUAUUCCACUGAUUUCCACUGAUCCCAGUGCUUUGGAAACGUGCAUGGGAAUUACAAACACAUACUGCUGUGUCUGCUUUUUUACAUGGGUGAUCAGAAGCCAAACUCAGGUCCUUGUGUGACAAGAAUCUACCAACGAAGCCAUUGCCCAUCUCCCCGGUUUAUAUGUAUGUGUGUUGGUAUGUAUUUUCUUAAAUUAUUUAUUUAUCCGAUGUGCACUCAUUUGCCUGCAUGUAUAUCUGUGUGUAGGUGUCAAGAUCACUGGGAACUGAGAGUUACAAGCAGUUAUGAGCAGCCAUGUGAGUGAUGGGAAUGGAACCAGGGUCCACUGGAAGAGACCAGUCAGUGUUCUUAAAUGCUGGACCAUCUCUCCAGCCCCCAAACUCCUCUUCUUUGAGGCACAGUGUUGUGUACCCUAAGUUGGCCUUCAAUUCCCUAUGCAGGGAAUGUCUCUGGUCGUUCACUGUGUGGAUCACCUUCUGAUCAGUUACCUAAGCAGCAGAUUCUCUCCUCGCCUGCUGGUGUGAGCGCCACAGAGGAUCUUCUUUAAAUAGCCCUUCUCCUUGCCCAGAUUCUGACACACUGGAAAAUAAAGUGAAUGAGUAAUGA